rnacentral:rRNA from 1 species
UACGUAGGGACCAAGCGUUGUUCGGAUUUACUGGGCGUAAAGGGCGCGUAGGCGGCUUAACAAGUCACUUGUGAAAUCUCCGGGCUUAACUCGGAACGGCCAAGUGAAACUGUCAAGCUAGAGUGCAGAAGGGGCAAUCGGAAUUCUUGGUGUAGCGGUGAAAUGCGUAGAUAUCAAGAGGAACACCUGAGGUGAAGACGGGUUGCUGGGCUGACACUGACGCUGAGGCGCGAAAGCCAGGGGAGCGAACAGG